rnacentral:lncRNA from 1 species
AAAGAAGAGAUCCUGGCUUCUGGUGUUAACAGUUUUUCAAACACAGUGCUGCAGCAGAUCAGGGUUUGAACAGGUCACAAUUGUUCUUCAGGGGAGGACAACUCCAUUUCCUGCAAAACGGACUCCAAAAACAAACAAACAAACAAACAAACCAUUUGCCAAAGGAGAAUGUGGGUUCUGGCUCCCUGAACCCACAUUCAGAGGGCCCAGGAGUAUGUUCCUAAGCAGAUCUUCUGGAAGAAGGAAUCAAACUUGACUUUUAAAGCCAACAAAAGCCCCUUGGAGAACUGGCCUCAGACCUUGUCUGCAACAGUCCCUGCACAGGGUUUCUGAGCUGUGGAGUAGUGAGGAAAGAGACCAGUUAAUAGCGUGGAUGAAAGCUGAAGGACAGACGGUUUGAGAAGAAAAGUGAACAUUCUUGCU